rnacentral:rRNA from 1 species
UACGUAGGGGUGCGAGCGUUUUAAUCGGAAUUACUGGGGCGUAAAGCGUGCGUAGGCGGUUCUCCAAGUCCGUUGUGAAAGCCCCGGGCUCAACCUGGGAAUGGCAGUGGAAACUAGGGGGACUGGAAUCUGGGCAGAGGGGGGGUGGGAAUCCGCGGUGUAGCAGUGAAAUGCGUAGAGAUGCGGCGGAACACCAUGGCGAAGGCAGCCCCCCUGGGCUGAGAUUGACGCUCAGGCACGAAAAGCGUGGGGGAGCAAACAGGG